rnacentral:rRNA from 1 species
GGAAGUCUUUCCACAAUGGGCGAAAGCCUGAUGGAGCAACGCCGCGUGUGUGAUGAAGGGUUUCGGCUCGUAAACACUGUUGUAAGAGAAGAAUGACAUUGAGAGUAACUGUUCAAUGUGUGACGGUAUCUUACCAGAAAGGAACGGCUAAAUACGUGCCAG